UAGAUCAGUCCACCCAGAAAAUGUUUUUUUGUGAUUGUUGCGGGCAUAAAUCCUUGAUUAUGCGGCACUUUUCUUAAAAACUGCAAUGGAAUACUCGGGGUAUUUAUGCAUGUUUUCUGCAAUGAAAUUGCGGGAACUUGC